GAUGAACGCUGGCGGCGUGCCUAAUACAUGCAAGUCGAGCGAACAGACGAGGAGCUUGCUCCUCUGACGUUAGCGGCGGACGGGUGAGUAACACGUGGAUAACCUACCUAUAAGACUGGGAUAACUUCGGGAAACCGGAGCUAAUACCGGAUAAAUUAUUAAACCCAAUGGUCCAUAAGUGAAAGACGGUUUUGCUUUACCUUAUAGAUGGAUCCGCGCCGCAUUAGCUAGUUGGUAAGGUAACGGCUUACCAAGGCAACGAUGCGUAGCCGACCUGAGAGGGUGAUCGGCCACACUGGAACUGAGACACGGUCCAGACUCCUACGGGAGGCAGCAGUAGGGAAUCUUCCGCAAAGGGCGAAAGCCUGACGGAGCAACGCCGCGUGAGUGAUGAAGGUCUUCGGAUCGUAAAACUCUGUUAUUAGGGAAGAACAAAUGUGUAAGUAACUAUGCACGUCUUGACGGUACCUAAUCAGAAAGCCACGGCUAACUACGUG
rnacentral:rRNA from 1 species